rnacentral:rRNA from 1 species
GUGAGGAAUAUUGGUCAAUGGGCGAGAGCCUGAACCAGCCAAGUAGCGUGAAGGAUGACUGCCCUAUGGGUUGUAAACUUCUUUUAUAAAGGAAUAAAACGAGGCACGUGUGCCUUUUUGCAUGUACUUUAUGAAUAAGGAUCGGCUAACUCCGUGCCAGCAGCCGCGGUAAUACGGAGGAUCCGAGCGUUAUCCGGAUUUAUUGGGUUUAAAGGGAGCGUAGAUGGGUUGUUAAGUCAGUUGUGAAAGUUUGCGGCUCAACCGUAAAAUUGCAAUUGAUACUGGCAGUCUUGAGUACAGUUGAGGUAGGCGGAAUUCGUGGUGUAGCGGUGAAAUGCUUAGAUAUCACGAAGAACCCCGAUUGCGAAGGCAGCUUACUAAACUGUGACUGACAUUGAUGCUCGAAAGUGUGGGUAUCAAACAGG